AUCCAACUAACAAGUCUCCAAUAGGACGAAACACGUGUCCUGGAU
rnacentral:hammerhead_ribozyme from 1 species